rnacentral:rRNA from 1 species
ACGCUCGACACCUACGGGAGGCAGCAGUUGGGAAUAUUGGACAAUGGAGGAAACUCUGAUCCAGUGACGCCGCGUGAAGGAAGAAGGUCUUCGGAUUGUAAACUUAUUUUGUCAGGGAAGAAAAAAAUGACUGUACCUUGAAGAAAAAAGACACCGGCUAACUACGUGCUAGCAGCCGCGUAAUCUGAGCGGGCUGGCAAGGC